rnacentral:lncRNA from 1 species
GCAAGACUCCAAGAUUCUCAGAUACACGAAGACUCUGAUCAUGGAAUUGCUAAAUAAAAGAAGAGUAACGUUAACGUCAAGUAAAGAUUUGCAAAUGGAUUUCCUAAUACAGAAAGAGACGUUAAUCUCCAAUUUCAAUAAAGAAGGUACUAUAUGUGGUAAGUAGUCAUUUCAAGGAGAGAAAGUUAUUCUGACAAGAAGCUAUUUAAGUUAUGGCGUAAAUUCAUUUUAUUAUCCAUCAGUUUCAACUACUACCUCACUGAUAUAUAAAAUGGGCUGCAAUCAACAUUGAAGAAACAAGUAGCAAGAAAAAUACUGAAACAU